ACCCGGGAGGAGUCCCAAAUAGAACGAAACGCGCGUUCUGGAU
rnacentral:hammerhead_ribozyme from 1 species